ACUUGGGACUGGUGAUGGGGAUCCCUGGGCACCAGAUUCAGUAGAUGGUCUUCUCUCCUCCAGGCUUGGGACUGGUGAUAGGGGUCCCUGGGUGCCCCAUCCAGCAGAUGCUCUUCUAUCCUCCAGACUUGGGACUGGUGAUGGGGGUCCCUGGGCACCAGAUUCAGUAGAUGGUCUUCUGUCCUCCAGGCUUGGGACUGGUGAUGGGGGUCCCUGGGCGCCGGAUCCAGCAGAUGCUCUUCUAUCCUCCAGACUUGGGACUGGUGAUGGGGGUCCCUGGGCACCUGAUUCAGCAGAUGCUCUUCUCUUCUCCAGACUUGGGACUGGUGAUGGAGAUCUCUGGGCACCAGAUUCAGCAGAUGCUCUUCUCUCCUCCAGGCUUGGGACUGGUGAUGGGGUUCCCUGGGCACCAGAUCCAGCAGAUGCUCUUCUCUCUUCCAGACUUGGGACUGGUGAUGGGGAUCCCUGGGCACCAGAUCCAGCAGAUGCUCUUCUCUCCUCCAGACUUGGGACUGGUGAUGGGGAUCCCUGGGUGCCAGAUCCACCAGAUGCUCUUCUCUCCUCCAGACUUGGGACUGGUGAUGGGGAUCCCUGGGUGCCAGAUCCACCAGAUGCUCUUCUCUCCUCCAGACUUGGGACUGGUGAUGGUGGUCCCUGGGCACCAGAUCCAGCAGAUGCUCUUCUCUCCUCCAGGCUUGGGACUGGUGAUGGGGAUCCCUGGGUGCCAGAUCCACCAGAUGCUUUUCUCUCCUCCAGACUUGGGACUGGUGAUGGGGGUCCCUGGGCACCAGAUCCAGCAGAUGCUCUUCUCUCCUCCAGACUUGGGACUGGUGAUGGAGAUCCCUGGGCACCAGAUUCAGCAGAUGCUCUUCUCUCCUCCAGGCUUGAGACUGGUGAUGGGGAUCCCUGGGCACCAGAUCCAGCAGAUGCUCUUCUCUCCUCCAGACUUGGGACUGGUGAUGGGGAUCCCUGGGCACCAGAUCCAGCAGAUGCUCUUCUCUCCUCCAGACUUGGGACUGGUGAUGGGGAUCCCUGGGCACCAGAUCCAGCAGAUGCUCUUCUCUCCUCCAGACUUGGGACUGGUGAUGGGGAUCCCUGGGCACCAGAUCCAGCAGAUGCUCUUCUCUCCUCCAGACUUGGGACUGAUGAUGGGGAUCCCUGGGUGCCAGAUCCAGCAGAUGCUCUUCUCUCCUCCAGGCUUGGGACUGGUGGUGGGGGUCCUGGGGCACCAGGUCCAGUGGAUAUUCUGUAUUCCUCCAGAUUUAGGAUUAGUGUUGGGUGUCCAUGAUUAUCAGGUGUAA
rnacentral:lncRNA from 12 species